UCCCGGAAGUAGAAGACAGCGGCGUUGCCAUGGCGGUGUCUCUGGGGCAGGUGCUGGCUCUGGUGCUGGUGGCCGCUCUGUGGGGUGGCACGCAGCCGUUGCUGAAGCGGGCCUCCGCCGGCCUGCAGCGGGUUCAUGAGCCGACCUGGGCCCGGCAGUUGCUACAGGAGAUGAAGACCCUCUUCUUGAAUACUGAGUACCUGAUGCCCUUUCUCCUCAACCAGUGUGGCUCCCUUCUCUAUUACCUCACCUUGGCAUCGACAGGCUGGUCCCAGACCUCAGAGUUCAGGUCUUCAUGCUGGAAUCCUGGGAAGCACUGAACGUGGAGUCAGGAGAUGUGGGUUUGAGUCCUGAGAUUUGCUGUGACUUCAGCUGGAAGAUGGGGUUAUGAUACCUUUUUUAAAGAUCUGACCCUAGCUGUGCCCAUCUGUAACUCUCUGGCCAUCAUCUUCACACUGAUUGUUGGCAAGGCCCUUGGAGAAGAUAUUGGUGGAAAACGAGCAGUUGCUGGCAUGGUGCUCACUGUGAUAGGAAUUUCACUCUGCAUCACAAGCUCAGUGAGUAAGACCCAGGGGCAGCCGUCUACCCUUUGAGUGGGCUGAACCCACCUCCAGCUCUGCUGCCUCCAGGAAGCACCUGGGCCAUGAAGUGCUGGCAGUGAGUGGAUGGAACUAGCACUUCCCCUCUCUGGCUUCAGCUUCCUCCUCUCUUACGGGGAUAACAGCUACCUCAUGGAUCACAAUAAGAGAACAAGAGUGAAAGGGUUUUGUAACCUUCAAGUGCUGUUCAGCUGCUGGGAUUUAGCACAGGAGACUCUACGCUCACCUUCAGCAACCUUUCUGCCCCAGCAGCUCUCUUCCUGCUGACAUCUCAGGCCCCCAGCCCAGCCACCAUUACUGUGGCCUGAUCUGGACUAUCACAGUGGCAGGUUCCAUGGACUGCAGAACGCCAGCUGCAUGGAAAGGGCCAGCUGCAGACUUUGAGCCAGAAAUGCAAACGGGAGGCCUCCAGGGCUCAGUCAGAGCACCUUGGCUGAAUGAGGAGUGGAACCGAGGGGAAGAAGGUAGACAGCUGUGAGCCCCAGCCCCACCUGACUCCAGCGCCCAGCACACCUGGCGAGUAGUAGCUGUCAAUAAAUCUGGUAAACAGAGGUGUGUUCUACCUCUGGGACGAAUCGCGGCCUGGGAAUGCGGCCCUCGGUCCACUGAAGCGUGCCCAGGUCGCCCUCGACCUCCCGUACAAUCGCCUCAUACUCAGCUCGCAGGCUCUGGAACUGGCGUCGGACCAAGAAGCCCCGGACGCAGGCCUGGUAUGGAGAAUGAGAGGAAAGAAGUCUCUUAUCGCGGUAAGAGAGGGGGCAUCUCGGAGGACUGUCCUGGAGAGGUCGUCCCGGCGAAUGCAAGAGGCGACCCGAUGGCGGGGAAAGGAUAGGUGGACUGUGCGCUGGGACUCCGGGGGGCUCGAGGGAGAAUGCCGGACUGGAUGCCCCUCCUCGCCUUAAGGCUCUUCCCGUUUCCCUGAUCCCGCACGAGCGUGUGGUGGGAGUGGGGGCGCGCAGGGCAGGGAGUCCGUGGGUCCCAGCUUUCCUCAGCGCGGUUGGGGAGGGUAUCUCCAGAGGUUGUCGCGCGGUUAGGGGACUGAACGUGGCAGCGUCUCGCUGGGAGGUCCAGGUACGAGACCCCAUGAUUUCCCUAAGGGAAAAAUCCUGUGCACCCCGCGCCCGCCCUCGCACCUGCAAUGCCGACACCUUCCGAACCAGCAGCUUUUCCUCCAUGGGACCCAACGGCCCUGCGGCCUGCGCGCCUGCGAAGUGCGUCAUUAGUCGGCGUCGUUCCUGAGCAUGCGCGGGCGUGGGCCCCGCCCCCGCCGUCCCCACGGCAACCUCCUCCAGUGCAGGGUAGAGGCGUCCUCGCGACAGGCGCACCUGCGUCGCCCCAGCCCCCGACUCCCCCUCCCACAGCCGCAAUGUGUACUUGAAGGUACGCGGCGCUGGGCUGUCUCCGCGGAGGCCGGGAGGAAAGGCGCAAGGAGGGGAAGCAGGACACGGAGCCGCUUGCUUGCUUUCUGGUUUAAUUCCAUCCAACGCCCCCCUCCCCCAUAGCACCUGGGGGGCCGCGGAACACCCGCCCGAGUCCGUAAAAUGUCACAGUUUGAAGAGAAUGAGAGGGGCAGUGUGGGCCUGCGUGGGACACCUACGCAGCAGACUGCUCCUCAGGCUCGGCGUUCUCGGCCAGGUGCAGCUUCUGGCUGUGCCUGUCAAGGAUCGUGGCGCUUUGGACCAGUCCUUCCUCCCACCCUGGUCUCCCAUCCUGCAAAGGCUUAGUUCCUUCACCUGUGCAAAGGUCCGGGGACGAGGGUCUCGGCCGUCUGUGGACUGAGGUUGCAGUCCCCGCCUGCCCUCUCUCACCCCCUCUCUUCAUCCAGAUCGUGCAGGUCAGACACACAGGUGUGCGCGCAUGCACUCGCGCUCUGUUCUGACUGAGGACCAGGUGAGGUGGUAGUGUAAAUUAGUAAAAAUAAUUGUUAAAUGCUGAAAGGAUAGGAGGACAUCACAAGCUUUGCCAUGACUGAUAUCAGCUAAAGUACUCACAAAGAUUUUGAUCAGUAGUAAAACAUCCCCUGCAACCAC